UCAAAGACAGGGGUUGAAGAGCGCUGAGUCAGAAGAGAGCUAAAAUGGCGGAGGUUGGGAGUCCCUGCUUUGACCCUGUUUGCAAACUCUUGUUUCAUUGUUUAAGCGAUUAAAUCUCUCGAGUAGACGCUGUCUCUUUAGAUGCAAGGGCAAAAUAGCACUUUAUGGACUUACACAGAGGACAUCAUGUUUAAUACGGUUCCGGAAAAAUCCAGUCAGAAGUUGUUCAUGGAGUUUUCACAAUAACUGCUUCUCAUGAACCGAAGCUGCGCGACGUCUCUGGAUCACAGGCUAUUCGCAGCUGGACACAUCCUUCUACACUGUAUGCAAACAUGCAACAUCAUUACACACAGUACAAGGAGUCAGACUGGCAUAUGAGGAGCAAAGGAACCCAGGCAGUAGCAUCGUUUCACAAUGUUUACAUCACCAUCAUCAGUGGAUGCCUUUGCCGUCCGUAGCCUGAGAUUUCAGAUUUGCAGCAAAAAAAUUGACUUUCCCAUUUAUUGGAAUGCUGUGCAGGUUGUACCUUGCAGCCAUCCAUUACAAUGUCACCAAGCCGUAACAAAAGCAGGAGAGGGAAAGUACAAGGCUAUGUUCCCAAAACACACAAGUGACAUACUUUAUGUGGAUGAUGUGAUCAGGCUUGUGUUUGCUGAGGUAUUUGAAGAUAAGCUGAAGGAAACCCCGAUUCCAAUGGACCUGGCAUCACAGUUUGAGAGACCUUCAAAGGAGGACGUGAUUGCAUGCCAUCUUCAGUGCAGGGGUCGUCGGAAGCCAACAUUCCGAUCAGGAAGCUCCAAACAUAUCUGGAGAACAACACACGACAGGAUGAUAACCCUAAAGUGUCGUCUUAGAUAGCACCAGCUGACAAAGCUUUGAUAUGCCAUUUAUCUGAAUAGAUAGCUGUAAGAAGUGAAUUGAACAAUUUUUGAAAGAAGAGCACAAUAUGGUUACUAAAGUAUGUUUAUUUGUAUAUUGUUUAACAUUUAAAUAUAUAUUUGUAAUAAAUAAACUUUUGACUGACUACUA